AGGGUACCACCAGGAGUGGAGCCUGCGGCUUAAUUGGACUCAACACGGGGAAACUUACCCGGCCUGGACACUGGAAGGAUUGACUGAUUGAGAGCUCUUUCUUGAUUCAGUGGGUGGUGGUGCAUGGCCGUUCUUAGUUGGUGGAGCGAUUUGUCUGGUUAAUUCCGAUAACGAACGAGACUCUAGCCUAUUAAAUAGGCUCUCGGCUUUUAAACGCCGGGAGGACUUCUUAGAGGGACAGGUGGCGGUUCAGCCGCACGAAAGAGAGCAAUAACAGGUCUGUGAUGCCCUUUGUUGUCCGGGGCCGCACGCGCGCUACACUGAAGAGAUCAGCGUGCUUUACGUUCCUGCUCCGACCGGAGUGGGGAACCCAGUGAACCUUCUUCGUGAUUGGGAUAGAAGAUUGUAAUUAUUCUUCUUGAACGAGGAAUUCCCAGUAAAUGCGAGUCAUAAGCUCGCGUUGAUUACGUCCCUGCCCUUUGUACACACCGCCCGUCGCUACUACCGAUUGAACGAUUU
rnacentral:rRNA from 1 species